rnacentral:lncRNA from 1 species
CUCCAGUUCUCAGACUGAAACAGUGCAGAAAUACAAGAUUCUCUGUGGUGGCUCAAUUGCAGUGAAGAAUUGCCAGAAAUGGUUAACAGAAAACAGGCAUGAAUUGAAUUUUUGAAAAUGAGGGGUUGCAAGAAUGUUUUCUGAGAGUUGGGUACAAAACAAGUGUUUUUGAAAAGUUAUCUGC